rnacentral:rRNA from 1 species
AUGGACAAUCGUGGAUGGCCCAACUGCGGUCUUUGCCCCCUUUGCAAGCAAAGUCAGGAAUCAGCGGCCCACCUACUAUUCCAAUGUCGUUUCACCCUUCGUGUGUGGAAUGAUAUUCUCCAGUGGCUCAGUAUGCAUCACAUCAAUUCCGCUGCUUGGAUGACGAGGGUCUCGGUGAGGGAAUGGUUGACCAGAAAUGUUCAUAUUUGUAGUGAAUCCCCCAAGGCACUUGCUUCGCUGAUGAUAUUCAUCUCCUAG